UACGGCCACAUUACGUUAAAACACCGGUUCCCGUACCAUCACCGAAGUUAAGCAAUGUCGAGCAUGGCCAGUGCCUAGAUGGGUGACCGCUUGGGAAUACCAGGUGCUGUAAG
rnacentral:rRNA from 1 species